rnacentral:rRNA from 1 species
AAACCAACAGGGAUUGCCUUAGUAACGGCGAGUGAAGCGGCAAAAGCUCAAAUUUGAAAUCUAGUACCUUCGGUGCUCGAGUUGUAAUUUGAAGAUGGUAACUUUGGAGUUGGCCCUUGUCUAUGUUCCUUGGAACAGGACGUCACAGAGGGUGAGAAUCCCGUCUGGCGAGGUGAUCCAACUCUAUGUAAAGUGCUAUCGAAGAGUCGAGUUGUUUGGGAAUGCAGCUCUAAGUGGGUGGUAAAUUCCAUCUAAAGCUAAAUAUUGGCGAGAGACCGAUAGCGAACAAGUACAGUGAUGGAAAGAUGAAAAGAACUUUGAAAAGAGAGUGAAAAAGUACGUGAAAUUGUUGAAAGGGAAGGGUAUUAGAUCAGACUUGGUGUUUUAUGAUUAUCUUCUCUUCUUGAGUUGUGCACUCGUAACUCACUGGGCCAGCAUCGAUUCGGAUGGCAAGAUAAUGACAUUGGAAUGUGGCAUUUACUUCGGUGGAUGUGUUAUAGCCCUUGUUGAUGUUGCCUAUCUGGAUCGAGGACUGCGUCUUUUGACUAGGAUGUUGGCGUAAUGAUCUAAUAUCGC